AUUUUCCUAUAAAGAAAAUUUCAAGAUGCUUCUUGAAACAUAAGGACAAAGGAGGAUUUAGUAGUAAAUUAAGAAGAGA